GUGCUUAACACAUGCAAGUCGAGUGCGCGUGCCGUAGCAAUACGGCAUGGCGCACGGCGCACGGGUGCGUAACACGUGGGUACCUGCCCUUUGGUGGGGAAUAACUCCGCGAAAGCGGAGCUAAUUCCGCAUAAGAUCCGCAAGGAUGAAAGCCGCAAGGCGCCGAUGGAGGGGCCCGCGCCCGAUUAGCUAGUUGGUAGGGUAACGGCCUACCAAGGCUUUGAUCGGUAGCUGGUCUGAGAGGAUGGCCAGCCACACUGGAACUGAGACACGGUCCAG
rnacentral:rRNA from 1 species